UCGCACGCACGAGCGAGCGAGGCGUGUACCCUCGAGCGAGAACGAGGCCACACCACCACAUCCCUUCGCCGCCGCCUCGCACUUGCAUCCCUGCGCAGGUUGCGCUACCUCGACGGACCCUUUGCCGCCGCUGAGAUCCGAGAAGAGUCUCCCUUCGCCGCCGCCAAGAUCCCGUGCCUCUCUACAGAUCCCCCUCUCUCUUCUUCGCCCAUCCACCUAGAUCGAAAACCGUCGCCCCUUGGUCGCUGCUGGUGCUCGAGGGAAGACGAGGGCGGCUCCUCCCGGCGAUUCCGCGUGCGAGUAUAAAUCCAGCUCGGUAUGAAUCGCUGUUUUUUUUCCUAUGUUGUAAUCUGAUACACAUGCGAGUAUAAAUCAAAGUUUUCCCAUACAGCUUAUAAGUGUACUGUGCGCUGAUGUGGUCCCUUGGAAAAGUUCUAAAUACUCCUCAAGUUAUGCGUGUCUACAACUCUACAUUGGGUAAUACUUGUCUUCUAUCGUUCAUCACCUUUUCUCUGUAAUGUAAUGAUGCUUUAGUUAUCUUGUUACUUCUGGAAACUGACGGCUGUACAGUUCUAAUGUACUUUCAAUGAAAAAAAACCUACUUUAAAUAUUUCUGGAAAACCAAAAUAUAGUGCGAAAAUCCAGCACACAGUGGUUGCAGGAGUGAUUGUGUGGUCAUGUUUUUGCAUUGUAAGUUUGUAACCAGAAACUCACGUCCAAACUAAUAUUUGCCGGUCGUUUAAUGACAAGCCUGUGAGUCCCAGUACGGAAAAUUAACUAGGGCCAUUUGACCUACAGUUAGGGAGAUUGUUACUUGAGCGCAUACAUCCAAUGAAUACUGUAACUUGAGUACGUAUAGCCAGAGCAAUAAGAUAUUUCGGACACAGCCUGGAGAUUGGGCUUGACAAGCAAAAGCUUGUGUACAUCAUAGUGACUGCUCUUUAUGCUGGGUCAACUAAUGUGUGCCUUGUCUCUUACUGGCCCUGUUGGAUGCGUUCCCGACAGUCCAGUUCGCCUGUUUCACAUCAAUGUAAGCCAUUAAGGACGACCUUGUCUUUGCUCGCAUCGCGGUGCAGCGAACGGGCACGCGGUUGAACACACCAUGACUUCAGUUGCAAUUGCAGAAGCUGCUACCCGAGCCAUGAUUCAACAGAGGUCAGUGAGGAAGUUUGGGUUCUCACUCUCCUUUUCCACACUGCCGAUGUGGAGGUGGCAACUGGAUUGGUUAGUUUCCCAUGUUAUUUCCCUUUGUUUACUUUUCAUUACCACCUGGCUCAUCUACCUUUUCCUGAUCAAAAGGCUCUCAUCAUCUCCCUCACUUUGUUUGCUGUAAUAACCAAUCUACUAUCUUCAUUUAUACUUGUGCUGUUUCUUAGUAUGAGUUGUCUUUGGUCAGCUGAUUAUGUGUUAACUGUGGAUUAAUUUGGGUGUAGCAAAAACUUUUGGGUACAGACCUUGGUUGUUUAUUCAAUGUACUUGUUAGCCGUAAACCAUGCCAGGCCGUUGGAGGUCAGUGCUGGUCGUUGCAAGCUGUUGGGCAGGCCCGCGUUGCGUGCGGUUAUGCGCGUCGUGUGCGUGGAGAGCCCGGCCAGGUCGUGUGUGUCUGGGUGUUGUUUGACCAUAAUCUGGGCACUGUCUAAGUAGUGUAUGGCCAGUGUACGUGGUGUGCGUGUGUGUCCAUUGGUCAAAUCGGGGCUGGGCGGAAGCAGGGAUGGUCGAGCCGUAGGCCGUUGACGAGCGCAGUGCAGGAGCAAGGCGUGGAGGCCGGGUCUCGCGGAAGAGCAGUUGGCUCACGUUCGAGAAAGGCCGAGCCUCCAGGAGAUCGUGUACAUGCGCGUGGAGCUUGACAGAGGGCGUUGCGUGGGCAUUGCGUCGUUGACAGGCUAUAAGAGCUCUUGUAAUCCUUGUGUGUAUGGCUGUGCCAGCUAGUUGGAUAAUGGAAAACGGCGUCUAUGCGCCGAGGCGUUUGAGCGCCGGGAAAAUCCACUGAUGUCUCCUCUUUCUUCUACCUACGUUCGUGCGAGUGAGAGAGAGCGGGAGGGAGCUGGGCACCGGCGCAAGGAGCAAGCUAGGGCUCGGCGCCAACAAUUGGUAUCAGAGCUUCGUUAUCUUGGGCGUCGUUCUCCUUGCCGGAGGCGUGCCGGCGGUGGCGGAGUUCGCCGGCGGCUGCGCGAUGCUCCGGGCCGUGUGUCGGUCUAUGGAGGUGCGCGGCGCGGCGAGGAGGCAGCGGUGGCUGCGGCGGCACGGUGAGGAGGCCGCGGAGGAUCUGUGUGGUGGCGGCUUCAACGACACACAGCGGCAUGGCGGCAUGGAGGUGCUGCGCUGCGGUUGAGGCCGCAGCGGUGCAGGGUAAUAAGCCGCCGGCGAGCCGGGCGCGACCGGUGCGUGUUAUGGGUGCGCACUGGACGUGUCAAGCGCGUCGGGACCGCGGGCGCGCGUACGAGCGUGCGGUUGACGUUGGGAGGAGGCGUAUGUCGCGGUUGUGCUCGAGUCCGUGCUCGAGUUCGGCUACAUCCUUCCGGUGUUUGUCGCUGGAGUUCGCGUCGGAGCGCGACGGGUGCGCCGGCCGGGGAGUGCGGGGCGUGGCGAAUGCAGCGGAGGAGUGACCGCGUCGGGGCGCUGGACUCGGGCCGUGGCGACUGCGUGCGUGCGCUUCGUGUACACGAGCCUGGGAGCGCGGGACGUGGGGUGCUGCGCGGCGGAGGCCGCAGCGGCGCGGUGCGACGGUCAUGACGACGACGACGACGACGGAAGCCGCAACAACUCCAGCGACGCCAGGUCGUGGUUUAGGGGGAGAAAUGUUAGCCGUAAACCAUGCCAGGCCGUUGGAGGUCAGUGCUGGUCGUUGCAAGCUGUUGGGCAGGCCCGCGUUGCGUGCGGUUAUGCGCGUCGUGUGCGUGGAGAGCCCGGCCAGGUCGUGUGUGUCUGGGUGUUGUCUGACCAUAAUCUGGGCACUGUCUAAGUAGUGUAUGGCCAGUGUACGUGGUGUGCAUGUGUGUCCAUUGGUCAGAUCGGGGCUGGGCGGAAGCAGGGAUGGCCGAGCCGCAGGCCGUUGACGAGCGCAGUGGAGGAGCAAGGCGUGGAGGCCGGGUCUCGCGGAAGAGCAGUUGGCUCACGUUCGAGAAAGGCCGAGCCUCCAGGAGAUCGUGUACGUGCGCGUGGAGCUUGGCAGAGGGUGUUGCGUGGGCAUUGCGUCGUUGACAGGUUAUAAGAGCUCUUGUAAUCCUUGUGUGUCUGGCUGUGCCAGCUAGUUGGAUAAUGGAAAACGGCGUCUAUGCGCCGAGGCGUUUGAGCGCCGGGAAAAUCCACUAAUGUCUCCUCUUUCUUCUACCUUCGUUCGUGCGAGUGAGAGAGAGCGGGAGGGAGCUGGGCACCGGCGCAAGGAGCAAGCUAGGGCUCGGCGCCAACAGUACUAAGGAGCCACCAUUGCAACCUUAACAAGGUUUUCGAGCAUCUUGCUUAAUUCACCAUUGGUAUCACCACGUUUUAAUUAAUAUUCUGGAUUACUGUUUCAUCCCACAGUCAUCUACAACACUUGCAGGUCAAAACAUUUGCAUACCAUAGUUUGGACAACCAAUAGACCCCUAGAAUCUGCUGCAUGGAGUGAGUUACCAAAUAGACAUGCAUAUGAUUUUUUUUCUAUCACUAUUACAAUAUAUGGCUAUCAAUUUUUUAUUCAUUCCAUGAUUCAUUGCUCUUGUUAUUUCCUGAGGUAUUUGUUGCCACUUAUUAUUUUUUAUGGAGAUCUGGGUGGGUGUUUCUAGACACAAAUAAUUUUCUUUGUUGGUUUAUACGUUGCAUCUUAGGUUAAAUUAGUCAAUGAUGAUAAGGAAUGAAAUGUGGCCAUUGGUUAAUGGAUCUUUAGUGGAAUAGAUGUGAAAAGCAACAAUGAUAUACCCUGUAAAUUUGUGGGACCACAAAACCAAGUACCUUGUUGAAUAUAGAAUACUCUGAAUGCUUGAACUCAAAUAUUGGUCAUGUUAGUGUUGACAGUGGUGAACAUUAGUCAGAUUGCCAUUGAUUGAGUUGUCAACACCGAUGAUUGGGGUUGUUUUUUCUGGUUGAACAAUGCCAACAUCGCAUAGUGGGUCAUCUCAAUUUCAUGUGACCUGAAAUUGUGAUGUCUUUGAAUAUAUUUUGAUCUGACGAGGUACUAAUAUUUUGGUCAACUAUAAAAUAUUUGCUUCUCUGUGCCGCAAUAUAAACUUAUUCUUACUGUAUUAUCCUCAGUUAUUCUGAUAGGACCAUAGGAGUUCAAGAUUACUUGUCUAGAGGUAAUUGUCAGAAGCAGCCUCCGAAGUUUGCUUGUUUUGAAUUUAGUAUUUGUUGAAGUACAAAAUGUGUUGACUAAAAUGAUGAUUCCGUCAGAAAAAUUGUGUCAUUUGGAAUUAAGAUGUCUAUUGAUCUAUCCUUGUGCAUAACGAUUUGUCAAUACCUUAAGUUAUAGGUGAAGCUUUGCAUUAUUAUUGUCGGACCUAAAUUUCACCGAAGACUUCAAUAGGGGAUGUUGCCUCUUUCACCUGAUUGUUGUGAUUUUUCUUGACUCUCUGUCGUGGGUAAAUCAUAGUGCAAUUGCGUCUCGUAUUCUGUUUGGGCCUGUAGGUGAGUGUUUCCUUGCUUUUUCAUUUCUUAUAAGUUGUCGUUCUUUUGUUGCUUAUAUUAAAGUUUGGAUUUUUUUUUCUUCAGCCUGCAGGGCCAAUUAGGUGUGAGCAAUAAUGCAAUACGUGCAAAUAUUUUCCUUUGAUCUUCAACUCCCAACAUCUCUAAUAUUUCCAUGCGGCUCAGCCAUAUGCCCAAGAGAAUAAAACAACUCUUGCCUUUAGUGGAUACCCAAGAGUAAUUGAUGUUGUUCUGUUUUGAAUGAUGCCUCUAGCUGUGGUAGAAAUGUAUUCAGAAUACAUGGGAAAGCAAAUGCAUGUCAUGGUCAUGUUUAGGGAGGAAAAAUGGGGCAAAUAUCCCAUGUGAGCUUUAUCUUGUACAAAUCAUUUUGUUCUUCUGUGCUCUUGUAAGCGGGUUGUGGUUGAUUCAUAAAUUGGUCCAAUUUGGAUAUUUCCUAAUCAUAAUCAAGAUAUUUCGCACCAUAAAGAUUAAUUAUUGACAGUGUUAGUAAAUCAUGCCUAAUAUUUAUCUCUUUUCUAUCCUUACAGUGACAUGCAAGAUGCAACUGCAAGGAUAAACUGGUUUUUGAACUUCCCUUUCUUGGUCAUGUGACAUUUCAAGUUUGCACAUCUCACAUAUUAGAAUAGAAACAGUAAGCUUAAGUUGUCAUGUGAGCCUCAUGAAACCUGAUUCGUUCAUUAGGCGUGCACUUUAAAUUUUCUCUUUGUUCAUUAUAUUUUCUUGCUUGCUAUAUCCAUGCAAUAUUAAUAAAAUAUCUAUAUUUCAGCUAGAUUUUAUUUAUCAGGUUUUGGAUGGUUUUCUCCGGUACCUCAGAACAUUUUGAAUGUAAUCUCUUUAGGUUCUCGUAUUUAGCUCAUGGCCCGAUCUUUUGUUGAAAGGAAACUCAAGGUUCCAACUUGAUAUGCCCUCUCUUUCAUUUGGUAUAAAUUUGGUGACCUAAAAGCAGUUUUAGGUAUAGGAGAUAGAAAGUGAGGAGGACCUUUUUAGCUUGCUCUUCUCUAACGGAUACAUAAAUUUGUACUAUGAAUCAGGCAUGUGCGUGCGAGGGAGGGAAGAGGAGAGAAACAUUGAGAUUUUUCAUGCUUUGGAUGAACAUUUCUAUUCAUAGCUUUCUUUUUCCAUGGCAGCGCAUGAGCUUGGCGCCAUCGUGGUAGAUCCCGAAAUGUAGGGUGGGUCCAUCGUGGUAGAGCCCCGGGAUGCAGGGUGGGUCCAAUAUAGAACCAAGAG
rnacentral:lncRNA from 1 species